AUAAAUUUAAUAUAUAUAAGUACGUCUGAGUCAGUGACAACUCUACAACAGAUGUAUCCAUCGGAUCGCCAUCAAUGAUGGUGAUACAUGGCUGUGUACAUUAUGUAUAUACAACUCGUCUAAACAUCAACCCAACAAUGUUAGAUCUGUAAAUUUGCUUUCGCAAAUUUUUGUUCUUCCCUCGCCGGGAUUCGAACCCAUGCUACUGUGAUAUCGUGACACCAAAUCGCCUGCACUGCAGCCGUCCCGCUAGACCACACGACCACCUGGGCUCUACAAAAAUAAAGCUUUCAGUGGCCGUGUGUUACCUUUCCUCGUCAGUUUUAAUCUA
rnacentral:lncRNA from 1 species